rnacentral:lncRNA from 1 species
UGUGCUGCUCGAGGUUGUAUUGUGCAUUUUCUAGUGUUUUUUUUUUUUGGGUUUCAGUCUUCUAUACAUGCCUAUAUGAAUAAUGAAUGUGAAAUAGUAGUUUGCAAAACUUUUCUGUGGUGUUUUUUUUUUAAAAUAAUUUUGAUGACUAAGAUUCUCUUCAUUCUUUAUUUGAACUACGAGGACUUUGAUCUCUAUUUUGAUAGAGUACGUAGGCGUUUGGGUUCUCUCCCAAACUCAAGUCCAAUUUGCCAUUGAUUUUUUUUAUUUGAUGCCAUAUGUGGAUUUCUUACCAACCAUUGUUUUUGUAGUGUUUGAGAGUAAUAGUGGACAGGACUUCUGCUUGAGGUGAUCGUAUUAUUCCCACUAAUCCUCUUUUAUGUGGUUGUAUUGUGUUGGCUGUUCAAUUGGAGGAUAACAGCCUGUCGUGAUGUAGAUUAUGUUUCUAUGAAUGUCGCAUAAUCAUGUGAAGCUUUAAGCUGAUAUAGGUACGAUUGUCCCGAUCAUGUGUUGAAGUUUUUACAUUUGAGUAAGAAUUUUAAUACGGAUAACAGCCCGUCAUGUGAUGUAGUUUAUGUUCCUAUGACUGUCACACAAUCAUGUGAAGUCUUAAGCUUAUACAGGUACGAUCGUCCCGAUCAUGUGUUAAAAAGUUUUUACGUUUUUGAGUAUGAAUUUCUCAACGCAUAAAAUAAACUCUCCUCCGAAGAAAUUAUCUUCAG